GACAGAGGGGGCGAGCGUUGUCCGGCAUCACUGGGCGUAAAGCGCGCGCAGGCGGCAACCUUAGCGUCGUGUGAAAGCCCCCGGCUCAACCGGGGGAGGCCAUGGCAAACUGGGUCGCUCGAGCUGCGGAGAGGCCCCUCGAAUUGCCGGUGUAGCGGUGAAAGGCGUAGAGAUCGGCAGGAAGACCAAGGGGGAAGCCAGGGGGCUGGCCGCAGGCUGACGCUGAGGCGCGACAGCGUGGGGAGCAAACCGG
rnacentral:rRNA from 1 species